rnacentral:rRNA from 1 species
GUGCCAGCCGCCGCGGUAAUACGGAGGGUGCAAGCGUUGUUCGGAAUCAUUGGGCGUAAAGCGCGUGUAGGCGGCUUGGCAAGUCGGUUGUGAAAGCCCGGGGCCCAACCCCGGAAUUGCAUCUGAAACUGCCUCGCUAGAGUCCCGGAGAGGAAGGCAGAAUUCCCGGUGUAGGGGUGAAAUCCGUAGAUAUCGGGAGGAAUACCAGCGGCGAAGGCGGCCUUCUGGACGGUGACUGACGCUGAGACGCGAAAGCGUGGGGAGCAAACAGGAUUAGAAACCCCCGUAGUCC